AGAGUUUGAUCCUGGCUCAGGGUGAACGCUGGCAGCGUGGAUAAGGCAUGCAAGUCGAGCGGGUUUAGACCCGCGGCAAACGGGUUAGUAACGCGUAGGGAACGUACCCAGAUGUGGAGAAUAACCCGCCGAAAGGCGGAUUAAUACUCCAUAGUCCCCGCCUCCGAAAGGUUGGCGGGGUAAAGCUCCGGCGCAUCUGGAACGUCCUGCGUCCUAUCAGCUUGUUGGUGAGGUAAUAGCUCACCAAGGCUAUGACGGGUAGGGGGUGUGAGAGCAUGACCCCCAACACGGGAACUGAGACACUGUCCUGACACCUACGGGUGGCUGCAGUCGAGAAUCUUCGGCAAUGGGCGAAAGCCUGACCGAGCGACGCUGCGUGCAGGAAGAAGGCCUUCGGGUUGUAAACUGCUGUCGUGUGGGAAGAACUUUGACGGUACCACACAAGAAAGGGGCACCUAAUCAUGUGCCAGCAGGUGCGGUAAUACAUGAGCCCCAAGCGUUACCCGAAAUCAUUGGGCGUAAAGCGUCUGUAGGCGGGACAAAGCGUCCGCUGUUAAAUCGCACGGCUCAACCGUGCAACUGCAGCGGAUACGAUUGUUCUAGAGGCAGGGAGAGGUUAGCGGAACUCAUGGUGAAGCAGUGAAAUGCGUUGAUAUCAUGGGGAACACCAAUUGCGAAGGCAGCUAACUGGUCCUGUCCUGACGCUCAGAGACGACAGCGUGGGUAGCGAAGCGGAUUAGAUACCCGCGUAGUCCACGCCGUAAACGAUGCCGACUAGGCAUUGGGAGUAUCGACCCUCUCAGUGUCGAAGCUAACGCGUUAAGUCGGCCGCCUGGGUAGUACGAGCGCAAGCUUAAAACUCAAAGGAAUAGACGGGGGCCCGCACAAGCGGUGGAGCGUGUGGUUUAAUUCGAGGCUAAGCGAGGAACCUUACCAGGGCUAGAAAUCAAGCUGCAAGCCUGCCGAAAAGCAGGCCGCCUACGAGGGUGCUUGACGGGUGCUGCAUGGUUGCCGUCAGCUCGUGAUGUGAAUUGUUCCCUUCAGUGGGGUAACGAGCGCAACCCUCAUCACGUGUUACUUUUCACGUGAGACUGCCGUGGUCAACACGGAGGAAGGUGGGGAUGACGUCAAAUCAGCAUGGUCCUCUGACGCCCUGGGCGACACACGCGCUACAAUGGCUGGGACAAUGAGUUUUGCCAACCCGCGAGGGUGAGCUAAUCUCCCAAACCCAGUCUCAGUUCGGAUUGGAGGCUGCAACUCGCCUCCAUGAAGUUGGAAUCGCUAGUAACCGCGAAUCAGCCAUGUCGCGGUGAAUACGUUCUCGGGCUUUGUACUCACCGCCCGUCAACUCAGAAGAGCUGAUAGUACCCGAAGCACCCGAUGUAUUUAUAUGUUAGGUACCACGGUAAGGUCAGUAAUUAGGAGUAAGUCGUAACAAGGCA
rnacentral:rRNA from 1 species